GAACAGGAAGUUGGGAAAAGAUGUACAUCGUCUGCUCUCCUGAACCAAUAAGAGCCAGGUCCAAGACACCAUAACUGAUUGUUAUAUUUCAGGAGGUUUUUCUGAUUAUAAAGUGUAGAAACCAUAGGAAUUUCAAUAUAUGCUCAAACUGAAGCCAUUCCUAAUGGGAAUAUCAGAAAAAGAAGAACUUGGAAUUCAGAAGGAAAAGUAAAGAAACUGGCUAAGAAUUAAUAGAGGAUUUAGCAAUGAAGUUUUAAGAUAGCUAAAGCUGGAAGAAAAUAAACUCCAAAGUUUGAAUUGUGCUCCUGUAUUUGUUGGCUCAAUGGAACUGAGGGUGAAGAAGGAGCUAAAAGCAGGAGUUUUGGCAAGAUAUCAUCAAGCCAAAUAUCAGAUAUUCUCAUAUGUUGAAGAGGAGGUUUGAAAAAUACCAGCCCAACGACGCCGAGUUAAUUAAAUAAUGAUUGCCCAAUAUUUUUCCACCUCAAACAUCCAAAUAACAACAGAUGUCUGACACCAGAAACACAACCCUAGAAGUUGGAGUCAACAGCUCAGUUCUGAGUCCUAUCACAAAGGCGUUAAGCACAGAAAUUAUCUGCAAUAUAGCAAAACAAAUUUAAAAUUAUUUUGUAAAAGAAUGUAGAAGGAAGCAGACCUUGAAGCAUGAGAAUGGUGAUAAAAACAUUAUUGCAGAUUCAAGAUAUUUUAAGUGAUGUGGGUAUCUCAUUUAUGGUGCUACGCUUAUUUUUUAAAUAAACUUCAAAAGCAUUUACAAAGUA